rnacentral:rRNA from 1 species
UGGGGAAUUUUGGACAAUGGGCGAAAGCCUGAUCCAGCAAUGCCGCGUGUGUGAAGAAGGCCUUCGGGUUGUAAAGCACUUUUGUCCGGAAAGAAAUCCUUGGCUCUAAUACAGUCGGGGGAUGACGGUACCGGAAGAAUAAGCACCGGCUAACUACGUGCCAGCAGCCGCGGUAAUACGUAGGGUGCAAGCGUUAAUCGGAAUUACUGGGCGUAAAGCGUGCGCAGGCGGUUUGCUAAGACCGAUGUGAAAUCCCCGGGCUCAACCUGGGAACUGCAUUGGUGACUGGCAGGCUAGAGUAUGGCAGAGGGGGGUAGAAUUCCACGUGUAGCAGUGAAAUGCGUAGAGAUGUGGAGGAAUACCGAUGGCGAGGGCAGCCCCCUGGGCCAAUACUGACGCUCAUGCACGAAAGCGUGGGGAGCAAACAGGAUUAGAUACCCUGGUAGUCCACGCCCUAAACGAUGUCAACUAGUUGUUGGGGAUUCAUUUCCUUAGUAACGUAGCUAACGCGUGAAGUUGACCGCCUGGGGAGUACGGUCGCAAGAUUAAAACUCAAAUGAAUUGACGGGGUCAUAGCUGUUUCCU